GGGCCCGCACAAGCGGUGGAGCAUGUGGUUUAAUUCGAUGAUACGCGAGGAACCUUACCAGGGCUUAAAUGUAGUGGGACAGGUCUAGAGAUAGACCCUUCUUCGGACUCAUUACAAGGUGCUGCAUGGUUGUCGUCAGCUCGUGCCGUGAGGUGUCAGGUUAAGUCCUAUAACGAGCGCAACCCCUAUCGUUAGUUGCCAGCGAGUAAUGUCGGGAACUCUAACAAGACUGCCGGUGCAAACCGUGAGGAAGGUGGGGAUGACGUCAAAUCAUCACGGCCCUUACGUCCUGGGCUACACACGUGCUACAAUGGUCGGUACAGAGAGCAGCCACACCGCAAGGUGGAGCGAAUCCUUAAAACCGGUCUCAGUUCGGAUCGGGGCCUGCAACUCGGCCCCGUGAAGCUGGAAUC
rnacentral:rRNA from 1 species